GCUGGCGUUGUAAUAUUGGGAUUGUAAGACUUCCAAUUAACAAUCCCAGAUUUUUUUAUUCUUACGAUAAAAAUCCAACUGACAACCACUGACUCAAUCACGUCGUUUUGAUCAGUUUUAAUCACUGAAUUUUGUCGGUGCCCAUUGUUGGGGGUGUCUUUUUGCUGCCGACGGCGUAGCGCUGCCGCAUCAAUUUGACGCCCGUGAAAAUCCAGCCAUAGGUACCACGUGCAACAGAGACAGAAGUAACGUUCUACUACCGGACAGUCGCACAGUGGUUUAUCCUGCCGCAAUAAGUUUUCCUUCUGACAAUGAGCGAGAUACGACAAGUAGCGGUGGUUUGAGAAGAGUAUUGCAUACUCUCUUUUACAGAUUCGUAAUCUUAUCCAUCUAAAUGAAAUUCUAAAAUUGCCGAUCAUUAGAAUCUGAUUACAAUUUUUCUUAGAAAUUCAUACUCUUUUAUGAGAAUUCAUGGAGUUUCAUAAAAAUUUGUACUUUUUAACGAAAUUCUAAGAAUACUACACGAAAUAAUAAUUUAUGAAAAAAUGAUUUUCUACGAAAGAUAAUUACUAUUUCAGACCCAUGUGACUAGU